rnacentral:rRNA from 1 species
UACGGAGGGUGCGAGCGUUGUCCGGAAUUAUUGGGCGUAAAGAGCUCGUAGGCGGCUUGUCACGUCGGGUGUGAAAGCCCGGGGCUUAACCUGGGAACUGCGCUUGAUACGGCAGAGCUAGAGGAUGGAAGAGGGUCGCGGAAUUCCCAGUGUAGAGGUGAAAUUCGUAGAUAUUGGGAAGAACACCGGUGGCGAAGGCAGCGACCUGGUCCAUUACUGACGCUGAGGCGCGACAGCGUGGGGAGCAAACAGG